UUAAUAUCCGAUGUUUGUCUAAAGUUCCUCUCUUUGUUUGUGGUUUUGGUUUCCUUACUUGAAAAGCAUCCUCCCACUGAGCUAUCAAUGCGGACGACCCAGAGUUUAGAACAAAUUAAGAAUAUCCAGUUUGUGUGCUUUAGCAGAGUCCAAGAUGGAUCCCUUUACUCUUAUGCAUCUGGUGCAGCAGCAGGUGCUGCUGGGAUCCCUUCAUCAGGUCAAGCCAUCCUGGGGGCUGUGGGAGCCACUGAGGGUGCUGCUGCCAGCAUGGCUAACAAAUGUACUUUGUAACGGUUUCAAAUCUGUGCAUUAAUGCGUUUAUCAAAUAUCUCUUAUCAUUUUCCUACUGUGAUCUAAGUGAUUAACAUCACAUUGGAAUGUCUGUAUCAGCAGUUUAGUGUGUGGAAGGUGCUCAUAAAAUGAAAAAAAAAAAAAAAAAAAAGGUCUCUUUCUUUAUUUGUCAAUCUAAUUGCGUGUAAUUCAAUGUGAUUCAUCACGGGAUAACACACUUAAUCUGUCAUUGGGGAGUUUUCAGAUUUCCACACUGGAGAAAUACUCUGUAUUCAAGAAACUUAAAUUGAUAGGAUUACUGAGGUUACUUAUUAAAGUUCUUCCGGGAGCUUAUAGGUUCCGUGUUAUAAGUUUCUCAUAGAAAUGAUAGCCUGAGAGGUUCUCCAAAUG
rnacentral:lncRNA from 1 species